GAGAGAGAGUUCUUUACAACUUAAUGAGAAUGUACAAAAUAAUUCCCAACAAUAAGUUCAUACCUGAAGAUGAGGAGUAUUCUAGAGAUUCAGGUGUGUUGACUAUGAUGAUUUAUAGUUUGUCAGAAAACGGAAAAUUCUUAAUGGGUCUUUGUCGAGAGGACAAUUCGGAGUACUCCAUGGGAAAAGAAUCAGGUGCUGGAAAAAUCGUGAAGUCCACUAGGCGACGGGUCACGAUCACCAAUAUCCAGUUCCGAUGACAGUCGGAGACGGAGGCAGCGAAGAGCAAAUACCUAAAAAGGUCUUGAAGGAAAACUUUUUUGUCUUUCCUUAAAUUCCACUUUUAGCCUCUCUGCUGAGACACUUCCCACGAUAGACUUUAUAGUAUCUCUAAUAACUUGACCCUUCACUUCAGUUGGCGACAAGGAGAGCG
rnacentral:lncRNA from 1 species